rnacentral:rRNA from 1 species
UACGUAGGGAGCAAGCGUUGUCCGGAAUCAUUGGGCGUAGAGCGCGCGUAGGCGGCCCUGUAAGUCCGCUGUGAAAGUCAAAGGCUCAACCUUUGAAAGCCGGUGGAUACUGCAGGGCUAGAGUCCGGAAGAGGCGAGUGGAAUUCCUGGUGUAGCGGUGGAAUGCGCAGAUAUCAGGAGGAACACCAAUAGCGAAGGCAGCUCGCUGGGACGGUACUGACGCUAAGGCGCGAAAGCGUGGGGAGCGAACAGG